GUCUGUGAGAUCAUGGAGGACAUGGAUCCCAUUGCCUCAAUAAUAGCACUAGACACUGAGCGUUGUAGCUCCAGGGCCUGUGCACUAAUAGCUGGUAAGCUGGGGUCCCCAGUGGAUGGGGGGGGGAUUAGGCCCAGAGGGAGAGCGGUCAGAAGACAUGUUAGGAGGUUAUUUA